AUGUGGAUUCGAACCACUGAAGGAUUUCCAGGGCAAUGCCCCUUGCUCUUCCCACUGAAACAAGAAAAAAAGGAUUUGCAGUCCAGCAAGAAAACGGAUGCGCUAACGCGCAACGGCUUUCGCGCUAGUUGCUCAAUCCGUUGCUUGUUUGGUUCGAGGUUGAGCUCACCCGCCGCCCUACGUCAGUAG
rnacentral:rRNA from 1 species